AAUCAACGCUGGCGGCGUGCCUCAGACAUGCAAGUCGAACGAUUAAAGCUCUCUUCGGAGAGUGCAUAGAGUGGCGCACGGGUGAGUAACACGUAAGUAAUCUACCUUCGAGUGGGGAAUAACGUCCGGAAACGGACGCUAAUACCGCAUAAUGCAGCGGCAUCAUAAGAUGACAGUUGUUAAAGGAGCAAUUCGCUUGAAGAGGAGCUUGCGGCAGAUUAGCUAGUUGGUAAGGUAAUGGCUUACCAAGGCUACGAUCUGUAACCGGUCUAAGAGGACGGUCGGUCACACUGACACUGAAUAACGGGUCAGACUCCUACGGGAGGCAGCAGUCGGGAAUUUUGGGCAAUGGGCGAAAGCCUGACCCAGCAACGCCGCGUGAAGGAUGAAGUAUUUCGGUAUGUAAACUUCGAAAGAAUGGGAAGAAUCAAUGACGGUACCAUUUAUAAGGUCCGGCUAACUACGUGCCAGCAGCCGCU
rnacentral:rRNA from 1 species